rnacentral:misc_RNA from 1 species
GAAAUGCGAUAAGUAAUGUGAAUUGCAGAAUUCAGUGAAUCAUCGAAUCUUUGAACGCACAUUGCGCCCGCCGGCAUUCCGGCGGGCAUGCCUGUUCGAGCGUCAUUUCGACCCUCAAGCCCCCGGCGGCUUGGUGUUGGGGCCCUGCGGCUGCCGCAGGCCCCGAAAUGCAGUGGCGGUCCCGACCGAGACCCUAAGCGCAGUUUUUUUUUCUCGCUUCCGGCGUCGCGGCGGGUCACUUGCCGUGAAACCCACGGGUCCCCCCGUACCACCCAAGGUUGACCUCGGAUCAGGUAGGAAUACCCGCUGAACUUAA